rnacentral:rRNA from 1 species
CCUACGGGAGGCAGCAGUGAGGAAUAUUGGUCAAUGGGCGUAAGCCUGAACCAGCCAAGUCGCGUGAGGGAUGAAGGUUCUAGGGAUCUUAAACCUCUUUUAUAAGGGAAUAAAGUGUGGGACGUGUCCCGUUUUGUAUGUACCUUAUGAAUAAGGAUCGGCUAACCCCGUGCCAGCAGCCGCGGUAAUACGGAGGAUCCGAGCUGUACGCGGAUUUAUUGGGUUUAAGGGGCGCGUAGGCGGCCUUUUAAGUCAGCGGUGAAAGGCUGUGGCUCAACCAUAGAAUUGCCGUUGAAACUGGGAGGCUUGAGUAUGUUAGAGGCAGGCAGAAUGCUAGGUGUAGCGGUGAAAUGCUUAGAUAUCACGCAGAACCCUGAUUGCGAAGGCAGCCUGCCAAGCCAUGACUGACGCUGAGGCACGAAAGCGUGGGGAUCAAACAGGAUUAGAUACCCCUGUAGUC